AUUGAACGCUGGCGGCAGGCCUAACACAUGCAAGUCGAGCGGAUGAAGGGAGCUUGCUCCUGGAUUCAGCGGCGGACGGGUGAGUAAUGCCUAGGAAUCUGCCUGGUAGUGGGGGAUAACGUCCGUAAACGGGCGCUAAUACCGCAUACGUCCUGAUGGAGAAAGUGGGGGAUCUUCGGACCUCACGCUAUCAGAUGAGCCUAGGUCGUAUUAGCUAGUUGGUGGGGUAAAGGCCUACCAAGGCGACGAUCCGUAACUGGUCUGAGAGGAUGAUCAGUCACACUGGAACUGAGACACGGUCCAGACUCCUACGGGAGGCAGCAGUGGGGAAUAUUGGACAAUGGGCGAAAGCCUGAUCCAGCCAUGCCGCGUGUGUGAAGAAGGUCUUCGGAUUGUAAAGCACUUUAAGUUGGGAGGAAGGGCAGUAAGUUAAUCCCUUGCUGUUUUGACGUUACCAACAGAAUAAGCACCGGCUAACUUCGUG
rnacentral:rRNA from 1 species